rnacentral:lncRNA from 1 species
AGCUUGUUUUAUCCAUGAAAAGUCCAUUCUUUAUGGCUGCCAUGGAAACACACAGAUAUUCUGAUUAAUUUCCGUUUACUGUUUCCCCUUUUGAAGUACAUUCAGGGUCACACAAUGUGUGCAAACAGAGAAAAAGAAAAACAACUUGUUUCCAUCAUUGAAGAACUUGAUAUAUUUUGUGUAUCAACAUGAACAGCAAAACUGAAGAAAGGAGAGAGGCAGGAUGGAGUGAGCAUGUGAAUAAGGAAAAUGUUAACUAAGUAAAAAUAAGUAAAUAUAUCUUGAAAACCACAGAAUGUCGUAAAAACUAAAGCAUUUCUAUUGCUACGUUCGCAUUACCAAUAAACUGACUCUGGUCACACAGCUAUACACUCUGCAGGUCAGCCCACUUCAUUCAAGCGUGAAGACAAACUCACAAGCUGGAAAGUCAACAUCCCUCAGGGGUCUGUCGUUACACUUCCCGUCACAGGUGCACACUGCCUUGAAACCUCUCCUUCAGUUGGCAAAGUCAUCGCUCACCCCUCUGCUCCCCCACCUACUAAGCUACUCAGAGAAAUGCUUUCCAAAUGAUGGCAAAAUUGAGAGCAAGAAAUUAGCCUCCAUAUAGAGCACUGGGUUACCAGUGGCUCAAAACAGUGCCGGUUUCCAAACUCAUUUAUUCAUUCUUUUGUUUAUUUAUUCAACAAACACAUGUUGGCUUCUACUAUGUGCCAGGUACUGUGCUGUGUCCUUCCCCAGCUAGCUCCACUCUAGUCCACUUGUUUUUCCUGAAAACACUUCUUCACAUUGCCCCUCAGAUAGCCAUCUUCAACAACACACCUUACGGGAGAAACCAAGGAAACUUACUGUUUGACUUGCAAAGUCAACAGUUCCAGUGCUGGGGUCUGGUCUGCAACCCCAGAGCUGGGAGGUUGGCUUGGUGGGAGAAUGCACCCCAGGCCAAGGCUCAGGAACUAACUCAUCAGAAGCCCUCCUUCCAGAAGGCUCUGUUCAUUCACACCAACAGAAGAAUCAGGAAGAGUUCGAGACAUGAAAAUGCAGAGAGACACAGGAGGCCAACCAGAUGCCCUCCAGUCCAAGUCCUACAGGUGUCUUCGGCUCUUUGA